rnacentral:rRNA from 1 species
UACGUAGGGGCCAAGCGUUGUCCGGAUUUACUGGGCGUAAAGGGCGCGUAGGCGGCCAGCACAAGUCAGUUGUGAAAUCUCCGGGCUUAACUCGGAAAGGUCAACUGAUACUGUGCGGCUAGAGUGCAGAAGGGGCAACUGGAAUUCUCGGUGUAGCGGUGAAAUGCGUAGAUAUCGAGAGGAACACCUGCGGCGAAGGCGGGUUGCUGGGCUGACACUGACGCUGAUGCGCGAAAGCCAGGGGAGCGAACGGG